rnacentral:rRNA from 1 species
AGCAGCCACGGUAAUUCCAGCUCCAAUAGCGUAUAUUAAAGUUGUUGCAGUUAAAAAGCUCGUAGUUGAAUUUCGGGAUCAGUACGCUGGUCAUGCCUUUGGUAUGCACUGGUGUCACUGGUUUCUCCCUUCUGAAGAUCUGUGAUGUCAUUAAUUUGGUGUCGCGGGGAAUCAGGACUGUUACUUUGAAAAAUUAGAGUGUUUAAAGCAGGCUCACGCUUGAAUACAUUAGCAUGGAAUAAUGAAAUAGGACGUUUGACCCUAUUUUGUUGGUUUCUAGGAUCGACGUAAUGAUUAAUAGGGAUAGUUGGGGGCAUUAGUAUUCAAUUGUCAGAGGUGAAAUUCUUGGAUUUAUUGAAGACUAACUACUGCGAAAGCAUUUGCCAAGGAUGUUUUCAUUAAUCAAGAACGAAAGUUAGGGGAUCGAAGACGAUCAGAUACCGUCGUAGU